GCCGAAGUGGCGGAAUGGUAGACGCGCCGGCUUGAGGGGCCGGUGGGGCUUAGUCCCCGUGAGGGUUCGAAUCCCUCCUUCGGCA
rnacentral:tRNA from 2 species